GCUCACCUCAGACUGCCUCUCUCCUCUGUUCAAUACACCCUGGGAGGCAGAGGAGCAAUAACAGUAGACCCUCCAAGGGAGGGUCCUGCUUGCCUUCAUCCUCUAUCUCUGCCGUUGACCUCCUGGAAGUCUCCUCAUCUAUAAAACAAUGGAUUCAACAGGAAGGAUGCUCAGGACCCUCUGGUUCUGAACCGUGAUGAUCACGAUACUGAGGACAAUGAAGACGAUGCUAACAAACCCCAAAUGCAUUCAGCUGCAUUGAACGGGAGACGAAGAGACCGAAAAAUAUCUCCCUGAAAUGUCUGCAGGCAGGCCGCCUCUGUCACUUAUUUGCACAUUCAGAAGCGCUCCCCUUCCCUGCCCCACGUUUAAUCCUGAAAACGUAACUGAAUAAAUGUAAGGCAAAUCACA